rnacentral:rRNA from 1 species
UACGUAGGGUGCGAGCGUUGUCCGGAAUUAUUGGGCGUAAAGAGCUCGUAGGCGGCCUGUCGCGUCGGAUGUGAAAGCCCGGGGCUUAACCCCGGGUCUGCAUUCGAUACGGGCAGGCUAGAGUGUGGUAGGGGAGAUCGGAAUUCCUGGUGUAGCGGUGAAAUGCGCAGAUAUCAGGAGGAACACCGGUGGCGAAGGCGGUUCUCUGGGCCUUACCUGACGCUGAGGAGCGAAAGCGUGGGGAGCGAACAGG